rnacentral:rRNA from 1 species
UACGAACCGUGCGAACGUUGUUCGGAAUCACUGGGCUUAAAGGGCGCGUAGGCGGCAUAUCAAGUCCGGGGUGAAAGCCCCCAGCUUAACUGGGGAAGUGCCUUGGAUACUGGUGUGCUCGAGGGAGGUAGGGGUCGAGGGAACUUCUGGUGGAGCGGUGAAAUGCGUUGAUAUCAGAAGGAACGCCGGUGGCGAAAGCGCUCGACUGGACCUUUUCUGACGCUGAGGCGCGAAAGCUAGGGGAGCAAACGGG